rnacentral:rRNA from 1 species
GAUGAACGCUGGCGGCGUGCCUAAUACAUGCAAGUAGAACGCUGAAGGAGGAGCUUGCUCUUCUGGAUGAGUUGCGAACGGGUGAGUAACGCGUAGGUAACCUGCCUGGUAGCGGGGGAUAACUAUUGGAAACGAUAGCUAAUACCGCAUGACAACAGUUAUUGCAUGAUAACUGUUUAAAAGGGGCAACUGCUCCACUACCAGAUGGACCUGCGUUGUAUUAGCUAGUUGGUGAGGUAACGGCUCACCAAGGCGACGAUACAUAGCCGACCUGAGAGGGGGAUCGGCCACACUGGGACUGAGACACGGCCCAGACUCCUACGGGAGGCAGCAGUAGGGAAUCUUCGGCAAUGGACGGAAGUCUGACCGAGCCACGCCGCGUGAGUGAAGAAGGGUUUCGGAUCGUAAAGCUCUGUUGCAAGAGGAGAACGAGCGUGAGAGUGGAAAGUUCACACUGUGACGGUAUCUUACCAGAAAGGGACGGCUAACUACGUG